rnacentral:rRNA from 1 species
AUUGAACGCUGGCGGCAGGCCUAACACAUGCAAGUCGAACGAGUGGCGGACGGGUGAGUAAUGUCUGGGAAACUGCCCGAUGGAGGGGGAUAACUACUGGAAACGGUAGCUAAUACCGCAUACCAUCGGAUGUGCCCAGAUGGGCUUAGCUAGUAGGUGGGGUAACGGCUCACCUAGGCGACGAUCCCGAGCUGGUCUGCGAGGAUGACCAGCAACACUGGAACUGAGACAGGGGCCAGACUCAUACGGGAGGAAGCAGUGGGGAAUAUUGCACAAUGGGAGCAAGCAUGAUGCAGCCAUGCCGCGUGUAUGAAGAAGGCCUUCGGGUUGUAAAGUACUUUCAGCGAGGAGGCGUUACUCGCAGAAGAAGCACCGGCUAACUCCGUGCCAGCAGCCGCGGUAAUAC